rnacentral:rRNA from 1 species
CAGUCGCCACGGUAAUACGGAGGAUCCAAGCGUUAUCCGGAAUCAUUGGGUUUAAAGGGUCCGUAGGCGGUCUUGUAAGUCAGUGGUGAAAGCCCAUCGCUCAACGGUGGAACGGCCAUUGAUACUGCAGGACUUGAAUUAUUGGGAAGUAACUAGAAUAUGUAGUGUAGCGGUGAAAUGCUUAGAGAUUACAUGGAAUACCAAUUGCGAAGGCAGGAUACUACCAAUUGAUUGACGCUGAUGGACGAAAGCGUGGGUAGCGAACAGGAUUAGAUACCCCCGUAGUCCCUGUCUCUUAUAC